AUACGGAGGAUCCGAGCGUUAUCCGGAUUUAUUGGGUUUAAAGGGUGCGUAGGCGGCCUUUUAAGUCAGCGGUGAAAGUCUGUGGCUCAACCAUAGAAUUGCCGUUGAAACUGGGGGGCUUGAGUAUGUUUGAGGCAGGCGGAAUGCGUGGUGUAGCGGUGAAAUGCAUAGAUAUCACGCAGAACCCCGAUUGCGAAGGCGCCCUGCAAAGCCAUGACUGACGCUGAUGCACGAAAGCGUGGGGAUCAGACAGGAUUAGAUACCCUGGUAGUCCACGCAGUAAACGAUGAUCACUAGCUGUUUGCGAUACACUGUAAGCGGCACAGCGAAAGCGUUAAGUGAUCCACCUGGGGAGUACGCCGGCAACGGUGAAACUCAAAUGAAUUGGCGGGG
rnacentral:rRNA from 1 species